CGCCGAGAGCCCAAAUAGCAGGGCUCGGCGCUCCGCACUCUGCGGCUCCAGCGUCCAGAUCCCCUGCGCCCCCGCGCUCGCCUGUCCGGGCCGAGGGACGAGAAAGGACGCGCAGGCCCCCAAGGAGACCGGCGGCGCAGCUGGUGUGCCGCGGGCGGCCGCUUCUGAGCCGCCAAUGCGCGUGGGCAGCAGCAACUGACGCCAGACCCCGAGGCUACGAGGGAUCGAGCCGAGCCGAGAGCUGACGGACUGGGAACAUGGGCGGAGAGCGGUGCGCGGCGUCCGGCCCUGCCCGGUGGCGGUGGCUGCUGCUGAGGGCCCUGACAGUGGGGUUCCUGGCCCAGAGCGUCUUGGCGGUAAGUCCCGCUCGGGUCCCACGCGCUUCAUUUCGCGCCUCCGCGAGGGGUUGGCACUUUCGCAUGGCCUUCAGGAAGGCAGCGCCUCUGGCCCACCUGAGAGUGCGCGCGCGUGUGUGUGCGUGUACGUGUGUGUGUCCUCCAUUCUCGCAUCCUGUACAUUGCAGGCGGCCCUUCACGGGAGCUCAUAAUUAAAACGUGGCCUGAGGCACCUUUUGCUUUUGUUGGAGCAAAACUCCGGCCUUAGAAGCAGGAGGAAUGUCAGUCACUAGGCAGCGAGACCCUGGGAGGGGAAAAGGGGAGCGCGAAGUGUUGUAGUGACCCCCGCAGCUGGUGUCCAGGCACUGCCUUGCGCAGAGGCCUCCUUGGUUUUUAAAUUCGAGACUCUGGGGGAAUGGGCGGGGCGAAGAGGAGGAGACUACUUUGAGAGGGAACAAUGGAAGAG